UAAGCAUAUCAAUAAGCGGAGGAAAAGAAACUAACAAGGAUUCCCCUAGUAACUGCGAGUGAAGCGGGAAAAGCUCAAAUUUAAAAUCUGGCGGUCUUUGGCCGUCCGAGUUGUAGUCUGGAGAAGUGCUUUCCGCGCCGGACCGUGUACAAGUCUCUUGGAACAGAGCGUCAUAGAGGGUGAGAAUCCCGUCUUUGACACGGACUACCAGUGCUUUGUGAUGCGCUCUCAAAGAGUCGAGUUGUUUGGGAAUGCAGCUCAAAAUGGGUGGUAAAUUCCAUCUAAAGCUAAAUAUUGGCGAGAGACCGAUAGCGAACAAGUACCGUGAGGGAAAGAUGAAAAGCACUUUGGAAAGAGAGUUAAACAGUACGUGAAAUUGCUGAAAGGGAAACGCUUGAAGUCAGUCGCGUUGGCCAGGACUCAGCCUUGCUUUAGCUUGGUGCACUUUCUGGUUGACGGGCCAGCAUCGAUUUCGGUCGUCGGAUAAAGGUUGGGGGAAUGUGGCAUCUUCGGAUGUGUUAUAGCCCUCAGUCACAUACGACGGCUGGGAUCGAGGACCGCAGCACGCCUUUAUGGCCGGGGUUCGCCCACGUUCGUGCUUAGGAUGCUGGCAUAAUGGCUUUAAACGACCCGUCUUGAAACACGGACCAAGGAGUCUAACAUGCCUGCGAGUGUUUGGGUGGAAAACCCGAGCGCGUAAUGAAAGUGAAAGUUGAGAUCCCUGUCGUGGGGAGCAUCGACGCCCGGACCUGACCUUCUGUGAUGGAUCUGCGGUAGAGCAUGUAUGUUGGGACCCGAAAGAUGGUGAACUAUGCCUGAAUAGGGUGAAGCCAGAGGAAACUCUGGUGGAGGCUCGUAGCGAUUCUGACGUGCAAAUCGAUCGUCAAAUUUGGGUAUAGGGGCGAAAGACUAAUCGAACCAUCUAGUAGCUGGUUCCUGCCG
rnacentral:rRNA from 1 species